CAACAGCUCGUGAGUUUUCAGGAUGGCUAAGAGUUCCAAACCAGUGGUUCAUUUUGCAUAGUUCUGUGCUGAAAGCAGAGAUGCAUAAGACUACUUUUGUUUUAGGCUAAAAACCUGUAUGUGGAUGUGACGCUGUGACUUUGCUUUGCACCUCUUGUUGGACUCGCUGCUGUCACCUAGUGAACGAUGGGACUGCUACAAGUACAUCACACAGACAAACUGUGCCAGCUCCAUGUAAGGUGUGUCACAGAGCAAUAAAUCUCCUGAGAAAAGAACAUGUGAAUCAGAUCCAAGCCGCUGGCUGCUGUAUUCAGCGGGACGUCAAACACACGCCUACAAGGAAGAGUUUCUGAACAUGAUAAGACCUUUCUUUAUUUAGCAGAGUAUUUCAAAAUGAGACUGCUGCUAUUCUCAGAUUAAAUCAUUAGGCCCUAAAUACUUUUGGUUUGUGAGCCCUCUUUGUGUUCUUACAAAAAUGUGCACAUUUUAGUGUGACCUGUAGAGAGCCACAGAUCUGGAAAUGGCUAGAAAGCAUUACAGAACUAUUAACAUCCUUCUCUGUUUAAAAAGGGUUUAAGACAACAGCUGCUACUAAACUAUGUUGGAUUAUGAGCUCUGUAUGACAGGGAUUUCUCAAAAGCUUUGCAUUUGAAGUCAGUGCUUUAUUAAAUUCACACUUCUAUUUCCAUGUGCCACUGCAACAAUAUAGAUAGUAGAUGUAUAUUUAUAUGUGUUUUGUGCAUUUUAUCUAGUGUUUAGGCCUCUAUGUAAAAGGUCUGGAUAGCUUUUGGGGAGUCCCAUUUCACACAUGACUAUUUUAUAUGUAAUCAUGUCUGUAAAUGUUACUUAAUUGAUUUAUGAAUAAACUACAUGAAACUG